CUUUCUAAGAUUUCUACUGUUACUGAUUGUAAAUAAAAAAAAAAAGAAAUCUAUUUUUACCGUAUUAUCGACGUUUUAAUUUUAGGGUGCAGCAGCACAUCUUCUUCAGAAGAAUUAUGCAACUGUCGCUAUAUAAUAAUAAUAAUAAAAUAUAAUAGAGUUAAUGCGAAGUCUGUUAAUAAACAGUUACCGUAUAUAAAACCAGUACUUUACUAUCUAAAUGUUUUAACAUUAUCAGCCGUACAUAAAAAAAGUAAAAAGCUAAUAAAACUGACAAAGAUUAUUCCUGGCAUAAGAAGAAGAA
rnacentral:lncRNA from 1 species